GGUGCAUUAGCUAGUUGGUGAGGUAACGGCUCACCAAGGCAACGAUGCAUAGCCGACCUGAGAGGGUGAUCGGCCACACUGGGACUGAGACACGGCCCAGACUCCUACGGGAGGCAGCAGUAGGGAAUCUUCCGCAAUGGACGAAAGUCUGACGGAGCAACGCCGCGUGAGUGAUGAAGGCUUUCGGGUCGUAAAACUCUGUUGUUAGGGAAGAACAAGUACAAGAGUAACUGCUUGUACCUUGACGGUACCUAACCAGAAAGCCACGGCUAACUACGUGCCAGCAGCCGCGGUAAUACGUAGGUGGCAAGCGUUAUCCGGAAUUAUUGGGCGUAAAGCGCGCGCAGGCGGUUUCUUAAGUCUGAUGUGAAAGCCCACGGCUCAACCGUGGAGGGUCAUUGGAAACUGGGGAACUUGAGUGCAGAAGAGAAAAGCGGAAUUCCACGUGUAGCGGUGAAAUGCGUAGAGAUGUGGAGGAACACCAGUGGCGAAAGCGGC
rnacentral:rRNA from 1 species